rnacentral:rRNA from 1 species
CCUACGGGUGGCAGCAGUAGGGAAUAUUGCUCAAUGGGGGAAACCCUGAAGCAGCAACGCCGCGUGGAGGAUGAAGGUUUUCGGAUUGUAAACUCCUGUUAUCAGGGAAGAUAAUGACGGUAUCUAACGAGUAAGCACCGGCUAACUCCGUGCCAGCAGCCGCGGUAAUACGGAGGGUGCAAGCGUUACUCGGAAUCACUGGGCGUAAAGAGCGCGUAGGCGGGAUAGCAAGUCAGAUGUGAAAUCCUAGGGCUUAACCAGAGAACUGCAUUUGAAACUGUAAUUCUAGAGUAUGGGAGAGGUAAGUGGAAUUCUUGGUGUAGGGGUAAAAUCCGUAGAGAUCAAGAGGAAUACUCAUUGCGAAGGCGACCAGCUAGAACAUAACUGACGCUGAUGCGCGAAAGCGUGGGGAGCAAACAGGAUUAGAUACCCGAGUAGUC